GUCCCUUCGGGGACACCUGAUAAAAUUGGAAUGAUACAGAGAAGAUUAGCAUGGCCCCUGUUCAAGGAUGACACGCACAAAUCGAGAAAUGGUCCAAUAUUUU
rnacentral:snRNA from 3 species